AUCGAUCAGAGCAGGGAAGACAAGGUUAACCCUUGUUCUUGCAAGAUUCAUCUAAUCAACAAGGGAAUUCAAGGUCGAUCAGUUGCAUGUCACCAAAUUUUCGAUCUACUUAUCAUACUCAAUAGAAUGGUAUGAAGGAAGAAGGUUCAGAUACUAGGAAAUCGGAAGGUUCACAAGAUCGAGGUAAAUCCUCAAUGUAGGCGACUUGGCAAAUUGGAGCGAGCAUAUGCACACUUUAUGAACACCAAGCGCUUCUGCUAUUAUGUAUUAAUGUUUUGGGUCAAAUGUCCGUAUUUGGUAUGACAUUGUUAGUAGUUACACUUGUUAAUACUUGGUGUAUGGUCUUAGUCGUGUCUAGUCGAACGGGUCGUAAACUUGUUUGUUUGUUGAUGGUUAAUACAGGGAUACACUCGUCUUACGGACGGGUCAUGCCCAAAUUUCGUUAAAA